GGGUAACAGAUAUUCCUACCAAUCGGGAACUUCCAAGGGCUUAGAACACCCGGUCCCGGCAACCGGGGACAAAGACCAGAGAAGUUCUUUAUUAUACAACAGUGGGAAAUAGAGUGUUAUCCUCAUUUUAUAGGUGGCACUGGGGGAAGAAGUGACUUGUUCAGUGUCACAAGGCUGUGUAGUAAGGGAGCCAGAGCUCCAGCCCCGAACCUCUGACUUCGAGUGUCUUUUCACCGCAGCAUGAUGGCUUCCCUACGGGAAGGGUAAAUUCGCAUUGGCAUUGUCAUUUCAUCCUCCAGACUCUUGGAGUAGCAGGUUUGACCUCAGUGUCCUCUUGGGAACCACGGUCACUGUUCCCAGUGUUUAUCAAGAGCUGCUCCUCCUUCGGUCUGGGGCUCACGAAUGCAGAGAAUGUGAAGUUGGCGGCCCGAUCACCGGGAGGCUCCUUGUGUGACUGCUACACACAGUUUUGCAGACUUGGAAGGCCACCAGCGCUGGACAUCCAGGUUCUGAGACCCCCCCGCCCUGGCUCGAAGGAAGGUUCUGAGACCCCCCUGGCUCGAAGGAAGAACAACUGGGCUCUUGUCUUAGUUCUAACUGGUUCCUGGAUGCCCGAGAGGACGCGUACCCCACCCCACAAUCCUCGAUAAAAACUCCAGCCCCUGGACAAACACAGGACUCCCUCUCCUUUCCUUUCUGAGUCUCCUAGAUAGUGUCCAUACCCGCACUCUCUCUCGAUCUUCAGUGAACCCCGAUUUCCCCUCCCACAGCUGGGACCCCCUCCACUGGUCCUGCGGGACCACCUCUGGGUCCCCAGACCCACCUGCUGGCAUCACAGAUGCCCAAGUCCGUGCUCUCAGCCAUCCCACUAAACUGCCUUGAUUAAACGAAAAGAACUUUG